GACGAACGCUGGCGGCGUGCUUAACACAUGCAAGUCGAACGGAAAGGCCCUGCUUUUGUGGGGUGCUCGAGUGGCGAACGGGUGAGUAACACGUGAGUAACCUGCCCUUGACUUUGGGAUAACUUCAGGAAACUGGGGCUAAUACCGGAUAGGAGCUCCUGCUGCAUGGUGGGGGUUGGAAAGUUUCGGCGGUUGGGGCUGGACUCGCGGCUUAUCAGCUUGUUGGUGGGGUAGUGGCUUACCAAGGCUUUGACGGGUAGCCGGCCUGAGAGGGUGGACGGCCACAUGGGGACUGAGAGACGGACCAGACUCGUACGUGAGGCAGCAGUGGGGAAUAUGGCACAAUGGGCGGAAGCCUGAUGCAGCAACGCCGCGUGCGGGAUGACGGCCUUCGGGUUGUAAACCGCUUUCGCCUGUGACGAAGCGUGAGUGACGGUAAUGGGUAAAGAAGCACCGGCUAACUACGUG
rnacentral:rRNA from 1 species